rnacentral:lncRNA from 1 species
UUAGAUAUCUGUUCUUAAUAGUGUUCCAGAGAAUUAUUAUGCUAGCUUGUAUUAUGUUUUCAUUCAGGUAAUGCCUGACCAAAUUAUACUGGAAAAUGCCUGAAAUAUUGGAUAUCAACAAUAUCAGAAGGUUGGGCAACAAUGGCUAUGUUGCCCAGGAACAGCUUUGGUGAAGAUGUGGCACACAAGCAGAGGCAGGACUUCAGGGAUCUGCUCCAUUCUCCCUAUUCCCA